UACGGAGGGUGCAAGCGUUGUUCGGAAUGACUGGGCGUAAAGGACGCGUAGGCGGGUGUGUAAGUCGACUGUGAAAUCCCCAGGCUUAACCUGGGAACUGCAGUCGAAACUGCAUAUCUUGAAUGCUUGAGAGGUUAGUGGAAUUCCAGGUGUAGGAGUGAAAUCCGUAGAUAUCUGGAGGAACACCGGAGGCGAAAGCGGCUAACUGGCAAUGCAUUGACGCUGAGGCGUGAGAGCGCGGGGAGCAAACAGG
rnacentral:rRNA from 1 species